rnacentral:lncRNA from 1 species
AUGCAAGGAGGAGAGACCCAAGAAAGUACCCAUAUAGCUGUGUACCCUGCCCUGAGUUCCGCAAAGGGUCGUGCCAGAAGGGAGAUGUCUGUGAGUAUGCUCAUGGUGUUUUUGAGUCCUGGCUUCAUCCUGCCCAAUAUCGAACCCGGCUUUGCAAGGAUGAAACAGGGUGCACAAGGAAAGUGUGCUUCUUUGCUCACAGACCUGAAGAAUUACGCCCAGUGUAUGCUUCCACGGGUUCAGCCAUGCCUUCACCAAGGUCUAUGUCAGUGAGCGCCGCAGAUAUGGCCAGCCCAUUAGCUCUUGGUUCAUCACCUAUGUCUCAGCCUACCACGUCCACACCGCCCAUGUCUCCAUUGGCAACCU